UACAGAGGUCUCAAGCGUUGUUCGGAUUCAUUGGGCGUAAAGGGUGUGUAGGUGGCGCGCUAAGUCGGGUGUGAAAUUUCGGAGCUUAACUCCGAAACUGCAUUCGAUACUGCGGUGCUUGAGGACUGGAGAGGAGACUGGAAUUCAUGGUGUAGCAGUGAAAUGCGUAGAUAUCGGGAGGAACACCAGUGGCGAAGGCGACUACCUGGCCUGUUCUUGACGCUGAGGCGCGAAAGCUAGGGGAGCAAACGGG
rnacentral:rRNA from 1 species